CUUUCUUUGUGUUGGUAUUUUAAACUCCGGAUAUGUGGAUUUGUGAGGACUAUGGUUAACUGCUCCUCAGAUCUCUGCAGGGUAAAUCCAGACAGCUAGCUAGACUAUCUGUCCAAUCUGAGUUUUCUGUUGCACGAAAACAACUUUUGAUCGUACACAUGUUCUACCAAAACGUUCCUUCCUGAGGCUAUUUUGCAGCGGCACUGUUAUUGCGUUAGGCG